CAGUAGCCACGGGAAUACGUAGGUGGCAAGCGUUGUCCGGAAUUAUUGGGCGUAAAGGGCUCGCAGGCGGUUUCUUAAGUCUGAUGUGAAAGCCCCCGGCUCAACCGGGGAGGGUCAUUGGAAACUGGGAAACUUGAGUGCAGAAGAGGAGAGUAGAAUUCCACGUGUUGCGGUGAAAUGCGUAGAGAUGUGGAGGAACACCAGUGGCGAAGGCGACCCUCUGGUCUGUAACUGACGCUGAGGAGCGAAAGCGUGGGGAGCGAACAGGAUUAGAUACCCCGGUAGUCCCUGUCUCUUAUAC
rnacentral:rRNA from 1 species